GACGAACGCUGGCGGCGUGCUUAACACAUGCAAGUCGAACGGAGAGGCCCUGCUUGCAGGGUACUCGAGUGGCGAACGGGUGAGUAACACGUGGGUGAUCUGCCCUGCACUUCGGGAUAAGCCUGGGUAACUGGGUCUAAUACCGGAUAGGAGCCAUUUUUAGUGUGAUGGUUGGAAAGUUUUUUCGGUGUAGGAUGAGCUCGCGGCCUAUCAGCUUGUUGGUGGGGUAAUGGCCUACCAAGGCGGCGACGGGUAGCCGGCCUGAGAGGGUGGACGGCCACAUUGGGACUGAGAUACGGCCCAGACUCCUACGGGAGGCAGCAGUGGGGAAUAUUGCACAAGGGGCGCAAGCCUGAUGCAGCGACGCCGCGUGGGGGAUGACGGCCUUCGGGUUGUAAACUCCUUUCGCUAGGGACGAAGCUUUUUGUGACGGUACCUAGAUAAGAAGCACCGGCUAACUACGUG
rnacentral:rRNA from 1 species